CAUGCCCAACACAUGCAAGUCGAACGAGAAUAUGUAGCAAUACAUUAGUAAAGUGGCAAACGGGUGAGUAACACGUGGGAACCUACCUUAUAGUACGGAAUAGUCCCGGGAAACUGGGUUUAAUACCGUAUACGCUCUUCGGAGGAAAGUUUUAUCGCUAUAAGAUGGACCCGCGCCAGAUUAGCUUGUUGGUGAGGUAAUGGCUCACCAAGGCAACGAUCUGUAGCUGGUUUGAGAGGACGACCAGCCACACUGGAACUUAGACACGGUCCAGACUCCUACGGGAGGCAGCAGUGGGGAAUAUUGGACAAUGGGGGAAACCCUGAUCCAGCAAUGUCGCGUGAGUGAUGAAGGCCUUAGGGUUGUAAAGCUCUUUUAGUGGGGAAGAUAAUGACGGUACCCACAGAAAAAGCACCGGCAAACUCCGUGCCAGCCGCCGCCGUAA
rnacentral:rRNA from 1 species